rnacentral:lncRNA from 1 species
UUAUUUCAAAGAAAAAAUUUAAAAAAAAUGAAAAAUGGCGAAAUAGAAGAAAACCUACUCGUAGGAAAAAUCCCGUGAGAAAGCAGUUUGCCUGCGCAGGUGCUAGGAACUGUGCGCGCGCGCCUGCGCACACAAAGGUUCGGGGCGUGCGCACAGUGCGUACGUCUCAUCUGUACACACGCACGCACAGCGCGCACAUCCUGUCGUGCGUAGGCAAGCCGUUCACGUGUCACUUUACACACAGACUGGUGUCGUGCACUGUGCGCGCACCGUUCGCACAGUAGGCUUGUGCAGACAGGCCCUAUGCGCCUGGGAACUACGCGCGCAUCGCCCAAUAUGCCUAAGCCCAACACUGGCGGCAGCAAGCCUGGGUGCCUACAGCGAGCCGGCCGGGCAUUGCCACCUCGGGCAGUGCAUUGCCACUGCCUUGGGCGGUGCGCCACUGUUGCCGGUGGAGGA